rnacentral:rRNA from 1 species
AGACAGGUGAGAAUCCUGUCCACCGUAAGACUAAGGUUUCCAGGGGAAGGCUCGUCCGCCCUGGGUUAGUCGGGACCUAAGGAGAGACCGAAAGGUGUAUCCGAUGGACAACAGGUUGAUAUUCCUGUACUAGAGUAUGUAGUGAUGGAGGGACGCAGUAGGCUAACUAAAGCGUGCGAUUGGAAGUGCACGUCUAAGCAGUGAGGUGUGAAUUGAGUUAAAUGCUUAGUUCUAUAACAUUGAGCUGUGAUGGGGAGCGAAGUUUAGUAGCGAAGUUAGUGAUGUCACACUGCCAAGAAAAGCUUCUAGCGUUUAAACAUACUCUACCCGUACCGCAAACCGACACAGGUAGUCAAGUGGAGAACACUAAGGUGAGCGAGAGAACUCUCGUUAAGGAACUCGGCAAAAUGACCCCGUAACUUCGGGAGAAGGGGUGCUGACAGAAAUGUCAGCCGCAGUGAAUAGGCCCAGGCGACUGUUUAUCAAAAACACAGGUCUCUGCAAAAUCGAAAGAUGACGUAUAGGGGCUGACGCCUGCCCGGUGCUGGAAGGUUAAGAGGAGUGCUUAGGAGCAAUCCGAAGGUACGAAUUGAAGCCCCAGUAAACGGCGGCCGUAACUAUAACGGUCCUAAGGUAGCGAAAUUCCUUGUCGGGUAAGUUCCGACCCGCACGAAAGGCGUAACGAUCUGGGCACUGUCUCAACGAGAGACUCGGUGAAAUUAUAGUACCUGUGAAGAUGCAGGUUACCCGCGACAGGACGGAAAGACCCCAUGGAGCUUUACUGUAGCUUGAUAUUGAGUGUUUGUAUGGCAUGUACAGGAUAGGUAGGAGCUGAAGAAGUGUGGACGCCAGUCUACAUGGAGGCGCUGGUGGGAUACUACCCUUGUGAUGCGGACCCUCUAACCCACGUGUAACAGCACGGGAGACAGUGUCAGGUGGGCAGUUUGACUGGGGCGGUCGCCUCCUAAAGAGUAACGGAGGCGCCCAAAGGUUCCCUCAGAAUGGUUGGAAAUCAUUCGUAGAGUGUAAAGGCAGAAGGGAGCUUGACUGCGAGACCUACAAGUCGAGCAGGGACGAAAGUCGGGCUUAGUGAUCCGGUGGUACCGUAUGGAAGGGCCAUCGCUCAACGGAUAAAAGCUACCCUGGGGAUAACAGGCUUAUCUCCCCCAAGAGUUCACAUCGACGGGGAGGUUUGGCACCUCGAUGUCGGCUCAUCGCAUCCUGGGGCUGAAGUCGGUCCCAAGGGUUGGGCUGUUCGCCCAUUAAAGCGG